UCCUCCUUACAGAGGCAGUUUCGUCCGAGUUCCCGACAUUACUCGCUGGCAACAGACAAUGAGGGUUGCGCUCGUUGCGGGACUUAACCCAACAUUUCACAACACGAGCUGACGACAGCCAUGCACCACCUGUGUAGCACCCUCGAAGGCGACCACGUUUCGGCGGCUCUCAGCUACAUGUCAAGCCCUGGUAAGGUUCUUCGCGUUGCAUCGAAUUAAAGAACAUGCUCCGCUGCUUGUGCGGGCCCCCGUCAAUUCUUUUGAGUUUUAGCCUUGCGGCCGUACUCCCCAGGCGGAACACUUAUCGCGUUGGCUUCGGCACGGACAGAUUCGACACCGCCCACACCUAGCACCCAUCGUUUACGGCGUGGACUAC
rnacentral:misc_RNA from 1 species